UACAGCUCUGCUUUAACACCCACCUCCUAUAUGAACAAGGUCUCAAGGUCUUGCAAAGGUAACCUGUUGGAGCAAGCCUUGGUCUUUGCAAGCCAAGCAUAUUCAAGGGAUUUUACGAAGGGACUGUGUAUGCUGAUGUGGGUGAGGCUAAGGAAACAGACAAGAAAUAUUGAUGUCUCCAGGGACCCACACACACAUAAAGGGGGAUCCAGCAUUCCUUUAAGGCUGUACCUAAAAGCUGAGGGAGUAAUGUUUCCAGAACCUGGGUGAGAAUCGGAGCAAUAGGAGAAGAUGUCACCAUACAGGGAUGAAGCCCUGGGCAGAACCAUACUGAAGCAGGAAAUGCAGGAAACAAGGAUCUCUGCUGCUCUCCCCUCUAGAUUUGCAAUCCUCUGCCAGUUUCUUGCAUGGACUGAAACCAACUAGAUGCUGCGGAGCAGGAAACCCCAUGGGACAUGGGCUGUAAAAGUCAGCGUCCCAUAUUGUGAAGUGUGCAACAGCAGCAGAGACAGACAGAGAGUUAAUCCAGGGGCUUCCGAGGUGAUCUGGCAGCGUCAGUCUUCAGCCGCUAAGCUGAGAAGAUCUGGGAAGGAGU
rnacentral:lncRNA from 1 species